AUAAGAGGUCCCGCCUGCCCUGUGACAAUGUUUAACGGCCGCGGUAUUUUGACCGUGCGAAGGUAGCGUAAUCACUUGUCUUUUAAAUGAAGACCCGUAUGAAAGGCAUCACGAGAGUUUAACUGUCUCUAUUUUCUAAUCAAUGAAAUUGAUCUUCUCGUGCAGAAGCGAGAAUAUACACAUUAGACGAGAAGACCCUAUGGAGCUUUAAACACUUAAAUUAAUUAUGUAAAACUAUUAAUCUACGGAGAUAAACUAUCUAUAUAAUACUCCUAAUUUAACUGUUUUUGGUUGGGGCGACCGAGGGGAAAAGAAAAUCCCCCUCAUCGAUUGAGUACUCAGUACUUAAAAAUUAGAACGACAGUUCUUAUUAAUAAAAUAUUUAACGAAAAAUGACCCAGUUUUUCUGAUCAAUGAACCAAGUUACCCUAGGGAUAACAGCGCAAUCCUUUCCAAGAGUCCAUAUCGCCGAAAGGGUUUACGACCUCGAUGUUGGAUCAGGACAUCCUAAUAGUGCAACCGUUAUUAAGGGUUCGUUUGUUCAACGAUUAACAGUCC
rnacentral:rRNA from 1 species